rnacentral:tRNA from 1 species
GGGGUUGUGGCUCAAUGGUAGAGCGCUUAGCUACCAUGUUUGAGGCCCUGGGUUCGAUCCUCAGCACCA